AUUGAACGCUGGCGGCAGGCCUAACACAUGCAAGUCGAGCGAGCGGCGGACGGGUGAGUAAUGUCUGGGAAACUGCCUGAUGGAGGGGGAUAACUACUGGAAACGGUAGAUAAUACCGCAUACCAUCAGAUGUGCCCAGAUGGGAUAAGCUAGUAGGUGGGGUAAAGGCUCACCUAGGCGACGAUCCCUAGCUGGUCUGAGAGGUUGACCUGCCAAACUGAAACUGGGCAAGGGUCCGAAUUCCAAGGGAGGGCGGCAGAGGGAAAUAUUGCACAAUGGGCGCAGGCCUGAUGCAGCCAUGCCGGGUGUAUGAGGAAGUCCUUCGGUUUGUAAAGUACGUUCAGCGGGAAGGCGUUACCCGCAGAAGAAGCACCGGCUAACUCCGUGCCGGCAGCGCGGUAAUUC
rnacentral:rRNA from 1 species